AGCUUUGCACAGUGACAGUAUCGUAGCCAAUGAGGUUUAUCCAAGGCACAAUUAUUGCUAAGAAUUUAUGUUUAUCCCUGUUUCUGAGCAAUUUAUAAUGUGUGUUGACAUACUUUUCUUAAAACCUCUUGUGCUUGGAGG
ensembl:snRNA U4 U4 spliceosomal RNA